AGGGGCAGCGAGAUCAGUGCUUGCACUGAUUGUCGGCGACCGGCGCACGGGUGCGUAACGCGUAUGCAACCUACCCAUUACAGGGGGAUAACACUGAGAAAUCGGUACUAAUACCCCAUAACAUCCAGGGAGGCAUCUUCUUGGGUUGAAAACUCCGGUGGUAAUGGAUGGGCAUGCGUUGUAUUAGUUGGUUGGUGGGGUAACGGCUCACCAAGACAACGAUACAUAGGGGGACUGAGAGGUUAACCCCCCACAUUGGUACUGAGACACGGACCAAACUCCUACGGGAGGCAGCAGUGAGGAAUAUUGGUCAAUGGACGCAAGUCUGAACCAGCCAUGCCGCGUGCAGGAAGACGGCUCUAUGAGUUGUAAACUGCUUUUGUACGAGGGUAAACUCGGAUACGUGUAUCCGUUUGAAAGUAUCGUACGAAUAAGGAUCGGCUAACUCCGUGCCAGCAGCCGCGGUAAUACGGAGGAUUCAAGCGUUAUCCGGAUUUAUUGGGUUUAAAGGGUGCGUAGGCGGUCGGAUAAGUUAGAGGUGAAAUCCCGGGGCUCAACUUCGGAAUUGCCUCUGAUACUGUUCGGCUAGAGAGUAGUUGCGGUAGGCGGAAUGUAUGGUGUAGCGGUGAAAUGCUUAGAGAUCAUACAGAACACCGAUUGCGAAGGCAGCUUACCAAGCUACUUCUGACGUUGAGGCACGAAAGCGUGGGGAGCAAACAGGAUUAGAUACCCUGGUAGUCCACGCAGUAAACGAUGAUAACUCGUUGUCGGCGAUACAUUGUCGGUGAC
rnacentral:rRNA from 1 species